AGGGGCGUCGCCAAGUCGGUAAGGCAACGGACUUUGACUCCGUCACGCGUUGGUUCGAGUCCAGCCGCCCCUGCCA
rnacentral:tRNA from 1 species